rnacentral:rRNA from 1 species
GACGAACGCUGGCGGCGUGCUUAACACAUGCAAGUCGAACGGAAAGGCCCUGCUUUUGUGGGGUGCUCGAGUGGCGAACGGGUGAGUAACACGUGAGUAACCUGCCCUUGACUUUGGGAUAACUUCAGGAAACUGGGGCUAAUACCGGAUAGGAGCUCCUGCUGCAUGGUGGGGGUUGGAAAGUUUCGGCGGUUGGGGAUGGACUCGCGGCUUAUCAGCUUGUUGGUGGGGUAGUGGCUUACCAAGGCUUUGCCGGGUAGCCGGCCUGAGAGGGUGACCGGCCACAUUGGGACUGAGAUACGGCCCAGACUCCUAUGGGAGGCAGCAGUGGGGAAUAUUGCACAAUGGGCGGAAGCCUGAUGCAGCAACGCCGCGUGCGGGAUGACGGCCUUCGGGUUGUAAACCGCUUUCGCCUGUGACGAAGCGUGAGUGACGGUAAUGGGUAAAGAAGCACCGGCUAACUACGUG